rnacentral:rRNA from 1 species
UACUCGAGUGGCGAACGGGUGAGUAACACGUGGGUGAUCUGCCUUGCACUCUGGGAUAAGCUUGGGAGACUGGGUCUAAUACCGGAUAGGAACCGUCUUUAGUGUGGUGGUUGGAAAGUUUUUUCGGUGCAAGAUGAGCUCGCGGCCUAUCAGCUUGUUGGUGGGGUAAUGGCCUACCAAGGCGUCGACGGGUAGCCGGCCUGAGAGGGUGUACGGCCACAUUGGGACUGAGAUACGGUCCAA